GUUCGAGCGUCAUUAGCACCAAUCAAGCCUGGCUUGGUAUUGAAGCCCGCGAUUAUCGCAGCUCCUAAAGCUAUCGGCGGCAUCACCUGGCCUUAAGCGUAGUAAUCCUCUCGCUAUAAGGUGCUCGUGAUCUGCCUGCCCCAAACCCCCAAUUUCUCAGGGUUGACCUCGGAUCAGGUAGGGAUACCCGCUGAACUUAA
rnacentral:misc_RNA from 1 species